AGUCAAGUAAUUAAGUGCAUGUGGUGGAUGCCUUGGCAGUCAGAGGCGAUGAAAGACGUGAUAGCCUGCGAAAAGCUCCGGGGAGGCGGCAAAUAUCCUUUGAUCCGGAGAUGUCUGAAUGGGGGAACCCACCUACUUUAAGGUAGGUAUUGCAACAUGAAUACAUAGUGUUGCAAGGCGAACGAGGGGAAGUGAAACAUCUCAGUACCCUUAGGAAAAGAAAUCAAUUGAGAUUCCCUCAGUAGCGGCGAGCGAACGGGGAUCAGCCCAUUAAGUUAUGUGUGUUUUAGUGGAACGCUCUGGGAAGUGCGAACGUAGAGGGUGAUAUUCCCGUACACGAAAGGGCACACAUAAUGAUGACGAGUAGGGCGAGGCACGUGAAACCUUGUCUGAAUAUGGGGGGACCAUCCUCCAAGGCUAAAUACUCCUGACUGACCGAUAGUGAACCAGUACCGUGAGGGAAAGGCGAAAAGAACCCCUGUGAGGGGAGUGAAAUAGAUCCUGAAACCGCAUGCAUACAAGCAGUGGGAGCACCUUCGUGGUGUGACUGCGUACCUUUUGUAUAAUGGGUCAGCGACUUAUAUUCAGUAGCGAGGUUAACCGUAUAGGGGAGCCGUAGAGAAAUCGAGUCUUAAUAGGGCGUUUAGUUGCUGGGUAUAGACCCGAAACCAGGCGAUCUAUCCAUGAGCAGGUUGAAGGUUGGGUAACACUAACUGGAGGACCGAACCCACUGUCGUUGAAAAGCCAGGGGAUGACUUGUGGAUAGGGGUGAAAGGCUAAUCAAGCCUGGUGAUAGCUGGUUCUCCCCGAAAGCUAUUUAGGUAGCGCCUCGGACGAAUACCAUAGGGGGUAGAGCACUGUUUCGGCUAGGGGGUCAUCCCGACUUACCAAACCGAUGCAAACUCCGAAUACCUAUGAGUACUAUCCGGGAGACAGACUGCGGGUGCUAACGUCCGUAGUCAAGAGGAAAACAAUCCAGACCGCCAGCUAAGGCCCCAAAAUCAUAGUUAAGUGGGAAACGAUGUGGGAAGGCAUAGACAGCUAGGAGGUUGGCUUAGAAGCAGCCACCCUUUAAAGAAAGCGUAAUAGCUCACUAGUCGAGUCGGCCUGCGCGGAAGAUGUAACGGGGCUAAAACUAUGUGCCGAAGCUGCGGAUGUAUACUUUGUAUACGUGGUAGGGGAGCGUUCUGUAAGCCGAUGAAGGUGUGUUGAGAAGCAUGCUGGAGGUAUCAGAAGUGCGAAUGCUGACGUGAGUAACGACAAAACGGGUGAAAAACCCGUUCGCCGAAAGACCAAGGGUUCCAGUCCAACGUUAAUCGGGGCUGGGUGAGUCGACCCCUAAGGCGAGGCCGAAAGGCGUAGUCGAUGGGAAAAUGGUUAAUAUUCCAUUACUUCUGUGUAAUGCGAUGAGAGGACGGAGAAGGCUAAAUCAGCCUGGCGUUGGUUGUCCAGGUGAAAGGAUGUAGGCAUGUAUCUUAGGCAAAUCCGGGGUACUCUAUGCUGAGAUCUGAUAGCAAGCUGUACUUGUACAGCGAAGUGGUUGAUGCCAUGCUUCCAGGAAAAGUCUCUAAGCUUCAGUUACACAGGAAUCGUACCCGAAACCGACACAGGUGGUCAGGUCGAGUAGACCAAGGCGCUUGAGAGAACUCUGCUGAAGGAACUAGGCAAAAUGGUACCGUAACUUCGGGAGAAGGUACGCUGUUGUUGGUGAUGGAACUCGCUUCCUGAGCUGACGACAGCCGCAGAAACCAGGCCGCUGCAACUGUUUAUUAAAAACAUAGCACUCUGCAAACACGAAAGUGGACGUAUAGGGUGUGAUGCCUGCCCGGUGCUGGAAGGUUAAUUGAUGGGGUUAGCGUAAGCGAAGCUCUUGAUCGAAGCCCCAGUAAACGGCGGCCGUAACUAUAACGGUCCUAAGGUAGCGAAAUUCCUUGUCGGGUAAGUUCCGACCUGCACGAAUGGCAUAAUGAUGGCGGCGCUGUCUCCAGCAGAGGCUCAGUGAAAUCGAAAUCGCUGUGAAGAUGCAGUGUACCCGCGGCUAGACGGAAAGACCCCGUGAACCUUUACUGCAGCUUGACACUGAACUUUGACCUUACUUGUGUAGGAUAGGUGGGAGGCUUUGAAGCUGGAACGCUAGUUCCAGUGGAGCCGUCCUUGAAAUACCACCCUGGUAAUGUUGAGGUUCUAACUCUGUCCCGUGAUCCGGGACGAGGACCGUGUCUGGUGGGUAGUUUGACUGGGGCGGUCUCCUCCUAAAGAGUAACGGAGGAGUACGAAGGUGCGCUCAGCGUGGUCGGAAAUCACGCGUAGAGUAUAAAGGCAAAAGCGCGCUUAACUGCGAGACCCACAAGUCGAGCAGGUACGAAAGUAGGUCUUAGUGAUCCGGUGGUUCUGUAUGGAAGGGCCAUCGCUCAACGGAUAAAAGGUACUCUGGGGAUAACAGGCUGAUACCGCCCAAGAGUUCAUAUCGACGGCGGUGUUUGGCACCUCGAUGUCGGCUCAUCUCAUCCUGGGGCUGAAGCAGGUCCCAAGGGUAUGGCUGUUCGCCAUUUAAAGAGGUACGCGAGCUGGGUUUAGAACGUCGUGAGACAGUUCGGUCCCUAUCUACCGUGGGCGCUGGAAAUUUGAGAGGAUCUGCUCCUAGUACGAGA
rnacentral:rRNA from 1 species